rnacentral:rRNA from 1 species
GACCGAUGCGCGAUUCCCGCCCUCUCGUUCGUCNUNGGCUCCUCNGGGUCACGGGCGUUCGGGGCUAAAGGACGGCGCGCUCCGCUUUGGUGACUCUGGAUAACUCACUGGUCGAUCGCACGGGCUCCACGCCCGGCGACGG